UCUCCGUUGGUGAACCCGCGGAGGGAUCAUUACCGAGUUUACAACUCCCAAACCCCUGUGAACAUACCAUUUGUUGCCUCGGCGGUGCCUGCUUCGGCAGCCCGCCAGAGGACCCAAACCCUUGAUUUUAUACAGUAUCUUCUGAGUAAAUGAUUAAAUAAAUCAAAACUCUCAACAACGGAUCUCUUGGUUCUG
rnacentral:misc_RNA from 1 species